AAAUGCAGAGUUCCAGGCUGUAAAGGGAAUGGAGACACUUUUCAUAGUCUUCCCAAGGAACCAAACACUCGACGGGCAUGGCUGAUGUUUCUCUAUAAGGAGAUCCCUGUGAAGUUCGACACUCAAUUAUUAAUUUGCUAGAUCCAUUUCACCAAAGACAGCUUUCAAAACUUUGGACACUUUGAAACAGGAUUUGCUAAACUGCUGUUGCUGAAAAAAGGGACUGUUCUGACUGUAUGGUUAUCACAACCACAAGCUAGUACAUCACGAGAACGACAACACACGAAAGACGCAGCAUGCCAAACAGAUACUCCAAGUGUGGCAUCCCGUGGCACACAACUGUCUCAUAAGACAUUAAGACCUCACGUACGAAGCAAAGGCAUACAGGCAACAGUGAUGUGUCAAAGUGUGGCAGUAGGCCCCACUGCUCCUUCAGUCUCUGGGCCAUUAUCUUCAACUCCUUUGAAGGGUCUGAGGACAGCAAAGAGACCACGUCUUGAAUUUGAGGAGAAGGUUGAGGAUGUUCCCUAUGCAGGCCAUGAUCCUCAAGAUUCCACAUUCAAUCCUGCACAGUCAGUUACAACGGAAACAGAAUCAUGUAAGCUUUUUACAUCACCGAUAUCAUCGUAUGGUGAUGCAAAAUACAUUGUUUUUGAGCAAUGCCUCCUCAGCCUGUUUGAGACCUGCCCUGUGUGCACAAGGGUCUGUAGUGUCCUACCACGCAGAAGAGGGUCCUUCGUAGCUAUUGACCAACUAUGCCCUCACUGCCAGUUCUUCAGACAGUGGAAGAGUCAGCCAAUUACUGGGAGCACCCCUAUGGGCAACCUUCAGCUGUCUGCUGCCAUUUACUUUUGUGGUGCUUCAUUUUCGAAAAUGAAAAAGAUUUUUGAGGCAAUGCAGCUGAGACACAUGUCAGAAGACAUGCCAGGACAUACCUGGAACCAGCUGUAAUCCACAGGUGGACUGAAUGGCAAACACAAAAGCUUAAAAUGCUCAGUGAGGCAAAGAGUGUCAUCAUCAGGGGGGAUAUGCGAGUAGAUUCACCAGGACAUUCUGCAAAGUAUGGGAGCUACACAAUGAUGGAUGUGCACACCAACGAAAUCACAGACAUACAGCUGGUGCAGAGCAACAAGGUGGGGGAAGCUCAUACAUGGAGAAGGAGGGUUUUAUGAGAAGCUUGGACCUCCUACAUAGAAGUGGUGUGAAGUUGGACUGUAUUAUCACUGACCGUCAACCUCAGAUCCAAAAGUUCCUGAGAGAGCGUAAAAUAACCCACUUCUAUGACGUAUGGCAUGUAGCAAAA